rnacentral:lncRNA from 1 species
CUCUUGGCCCAUGAGCUUUAGCUAUUGUCUGUUGGGGGGCAUGGCUUCUAUAGAAGACAGCUUCCAGUAGAACUCAGGAUUGGUCAGGCACAGGAUGAGGAAACAUCUCUCAGACAUAAGAGUGGGUCUCUCCUUUCCUGCCACUUCCUCCAUGAAGCUGAAAGCUGAAGCUGCCUCCUGCCCCCACCAACUGGCCUCACCUGCAUGUUUGGGCUGGGUUCUCUCAGGCCAUGGCUUGCUGCUGUCACCAGCCGGUGCCCUUCCACUGAGCCAUGAAGUGAAGAUUUCAGAAUCAAGCCCUUGACCUGCCCUGAAUGCUUAUCUCGUCUGCGCAAGCCUCAAGCAUCCCUGACCCCACUGCACCGGGAAUGCCCUGGCCAUGCCAGGCUAUGCUCCCAGCCCCUGAGCACUUCAAACCCCAUUCCCCUGACC